UACGGAGGGGGCUAGCGUUGUUCGGAAUUACUGGGCGUAAAGCGCACGUAGGCGGCUUUGCAAGUCAGAGGUGAAAGCCCAGGGCUCAACCCUGGAAUUGCCUUUGAGACUGCAUCGCUAGAACACGGGAGAGGUAAGCGGAAUUCCGAGUGUAGAGGUGAAAUUCGUAGAUAUUCGGAAGAACACCAGUGGCGAAGGCGGCUUACUGGACCGUUGUUGACGCUGAGGUGCGAAAGCGUGGGGAGCAAACAGG
rnacentral:rRNA from 1 species